rnacentral:rRNA from 1 species
GAUCGAACGGACGUCGACGAGAAUGCUUAACACAUGCAAGUACGACGUCGAGGUCUUACGGGACGUUGGGUAGGCGGCACGGGUGAGUAACGCGUAAAGAACUUGCCUCUUAGACCGGGACAACAUUUGGAAACGGAUGCUAAUACCGGAUAUUAUGGUCUCUUCGCAUGGGGGAACCAUGAAAGCUACAUGCGCUAAGAGAGAGCUUUGCGUCCCAUUAGCUCGUUGGUGAGGUAACGGCCCACCAAGGCAAUGAUGGGUAGCCGGCCUGAGAGGGUGAACGGCCACAGGGGGACUGAGACACGGCCCUU